rnacentral:rRNA from 1 species
AUUGAACGCUGGCGGCAGGCCUAACACAUGCAAGUCGAGCGGAUGAAGGGAGCUUGCUCCUGGAUUCAGCGGCGGACGGGUGAGUAAUGCCUAGGAAUCUGCCUGGUAGUGGGGGAUAACGUCCGGAAACGGGCGCUAAUACCGCAUACGUCCUGAGGGAGAAAGUGGGGGAUCUUCGGACCUCACGCUAUCAGAUGAGCCUAGGUCGGAUUAGCUAGUUGGUGGGGUAAAGGCCUACCAAGGCGACGAUCCGUAACUGGUCUGAGAGGAUGAUCAGUCACACUGGAACUGAGACACGGACAAGACUCCUACGGGAGGCAGCAGUGGGGAAUAUUGGACAAUGGGCGAAAGCCUGAUCCAGCCAUGCCGCGUGUGUGAAGAAGGUCUUCGGAUUGUAAAGCACUUUAAGUUGGGAGGAAGGGCAGUAAGUUAAUACCUUGCUGUUUUGACGUUACCAACAGAAUAAGCACCGGCUAACUUCGUG